rnacentral:rRNA from 1 species
UACGUAGGGUGCGAGCGUUAAUCGGAAUUACUGGGCGUAAAGCGUGCGCAGGCGGUUUUGUAAGCCAGAUGUGAAAUCCCCGGGCUUAACCUGGGAAUGGCAUUUGGGACUGCAAGGCUUGAGUGCGGCAGAGGAGACUAGAAUUCCUGGUGUAGCAGUGAAAUGCGUAGAUAUCGUCAAGAACACCGAUAGCGAAGGCAGCUUACUAGACUGUAACUGACGCUGAGGCACGAAAGUGUGGGGAUCAAACAGG